CUGCAUUGUGAAAACAGUAACUUGUAUUUCAUCUCAAUCUUCUCUUGUUUAAAUAGACUUUCAUUGUUUGUUGAAAGUUUGGAAAGUUCAUCUGAAAAUCACAAUAUUUCUUUCAAUGUUGAUUCUGGAUUUUAAUUCGAGUCUUCAAAUAUUGAAUCUUAGAAAAAGCAAUUAGUGAUCAAUUGAAGUAUACAAUACUUUUAAAAUUAGCACUGUUAGAACUGCCUCGUUGUUUAAUAGUCCUGUCUUAUUUAUCCCAGCAUACUCUUAAUACAUGAGUUUGAUUAUUCCUGGACACAAAUAAAAUGGAUUUGUUAAGGAACAAGGCAGUUCUAUACAGUACUGACUUAUAGGAGGGUUGUGUUCUUCAGUUGUUUUUUAUUCUUGUGCCAACUGGAUUGUUAUCAACAAAAAAUUUGAAUUUGGAACAAACUUUGUGAUUUUUAAAAAGAAUUUCUCAACUUUAAAACAAACAGUUAAGGUCAAAUUGGCUAGGAUAUUGCCUUAAUUAAUUACAAAGUGGAACUUAUUUGAAUAUGGAUGAACUGAAGCAGCAAACUAUGCUUAAUUUGGGGGGGGGGAUGUGAGAUGGAGAAAAUAAAAUUGAUUGUCGUGCAUGACAAGGAAAACCACAACCAGACUACAGGAUAUUAAUUAACAAUUAUUUGCCAAAGUCGAUGUGAUUAUUGGUGAAUAAAAAUCGAGACGAAGUCGAGGUUUUUAUUCACGAUAAUCACCAAGCCUGAGGUGAAUAUUUUGUUUUGAUAUAAUUUCAUGGAAAUUUGGGGGGGGGGGAAUACUCAUUUCUUCAUCAUUUACUUGACAAAUGGCUUUGGCCACCAUUUCGAAAAUCGCCUAGGUGAUUAUCGCGUUCUAAUUACCUCAUCUGCAAGACUGCAACCCAUCAGCGUGGAGAAUUUUCAAUAAUCACCUAUGUAAUUAUACUAAUUGUUAGGUAAAGCAAUCCAAUAAUUUGAAUAUUGAGGCUGAAGAUAAGAUCGAUUUGAAUCAAAAUCCAAGCAUGGAAUUAACCAUAUUUUUAGUAUUCAUCAAAAUUUGUGUGUGUUUCUUCACACAUAAGAUCGGCAAUUACUAAGAUGCUCUUUAUGUACCAAAUUUUAUAAUCUGAAUAAAAAGUUGUAGAUUUUAAAAUGCUAUUUUUAUUUAAUUAAAUAAUCUGACCUGCAACCCUAAUUUUUUUAAGUUAG
rnacentral:lncRNA from 1 species